AGGACGAACGCUGGCGGCGUGCCUAAUACAUGCAAGUCGAACGGUCUUUCUAUGGAAGCUUGCUCCACUGAGAAGAUAGUGGCGAACGGGUGAGGUAACACGUGGGUAACCUGCCCAUAAGAGGGGGGAUAACAUCCGGAAACGGGUGCUAAUACCGCAUAGUUUUCUUGAUCGCAUGAUCGGGAAAGGAAAGACGGCCUUUGUGCUGUCGCUUAUGGAUGGACCCGCGGCGUAUUAGUUAGUUGGUGAGGUAACGGCUCACCAAGACGAUGAUACGUAGCCGACCUGAGAGGGUGAUCGGCCACAUUGGGACUGAGACACGGCCCAAACUCCUACGGGAGGCAGCAGUAGGGAAUCUUCCGCAAUGGACGAAAGUCUGACGGAGCAACGCCGCGUGAGUGAAGAAAAGGUUUUCGGAUCGUAAAACUCUGUUGUCAGAGAAGAACAAGUUGGAGAGUAACUGCUCCAGCCUUGACGGUAUCUGACCAGAAAGCCACGGCUAACUACGUGCCAGCCGCCGC
rnacentral:rRNA from 1 species